CCUACGGGUGGCAGCAGUAGGGAAUAUUGCUCAAUGGGGGAAACCCUGAAGCAGCAACGCCGCGUGGAGGAUGAAGGUUUUCGGAAUGUAAAGUCCUUUUGUUAGAGAAGAUAAUGACGGUAUCUAACGAAUAAGCAACGGCUGACUCCGUGCUAGCUGCCGCGGUAAUACGGAGGGUGCAAGCGUUACUCGGAAUCACUGGGCGUAAAGCGCGCGUAGGCGGGAUAGCAAGUCAGAUGUGAAAUCCUAUGGCUUAACCAUAGACCUGCUUUUGACACUGUUAUUAUAGAGUAUGGGAGAGGUAGGUGGAAUUCUUGGUGGAGGGGUAAAAGCCGGAGAGAUCAAGAGGAAUACUCAUUGCGAAGGCGACCUGCUAGAACAUAACUGACGCUGAUGCGCGAAAGCGUGGGGAGCAAACAGGAUUAGAUACCCUAGUAGUC
rnacentral:rRNA from 1 species